UAUGGUAGUGCUGCAACGACGCAUCGACGUCAUCGAUUACGUCAACUACGAAAAUACAUCGUCAUGCGUGAAAUGCGUCGACGCGUCACACUGUUUACAUUCAUCUCGCGUAACGGCGGCUUCUGCUCCUGGGAAUGGAGAAAGUUCCAGUCUAUCACAAAAAGCUAGACCACGGUUAGCAAAAGUAUGGGAAUACUUUAAACAGAGGCCAAAUAAAAUGGCAGCACCUCAGAACAAAACAUCCUGGCGCUCUCCGACCUCAAAAGGACGAGCCAUCUUUGAAGAGGCAAAGCUGUGUACAAGAUUUCUUUCAUAAAAAGGAUAUCACUGUUUGCACGCCCCAAAUGGCUGAUCAUGCAUUUUUGCACAGUGUUGAGCAGUGCUUUUGUUGAAUUUAUAUGGCAUUUUGAAUGCUUUUAAAUUUAUAUGCCAUUAUCCGUGCCUGAUGCUAAAGUGUUGUUUAUAUUUUAUUUUUGGCACUUUAUUUUUAUAUACUGUAAAAACUACAACCAUGUUGAAGUAUUUUUUGGAAAAAAAUGUAAUAAAAGUUGAAAUAUUA